UAAGCCUGUGAAGGUGUGUCGUGAGGCAUGCUGGAGGUAUCAGAAGUGCGAAUGCUGACAUAAGUAACGAUAAAGCGGGUGAAAAGCCCGCUCGCCGGAAGACCAAGGGUUCCUGUCCAACGUUAAUCGGGGCAGGGUGAGUCGACCCCUAAGGCGAGGCCGAAAGGCGUAGUCGAUGGGAAACGGGUUAAUAUUCCCGUACUUGGUGUUACUGCGAAGGGGGGACGGAGAAGGCUAUGUUGGCCGGGCGACGGUUGUCCCGGUUUAAGCGUGUAGGUGUGUGUUCCAGGUAAAUCCGGUUCACUUUAACACUGAGGCGUGACGACGAGGCACUACGGUGCUGAAGCAACAAAUGCCCUGCUUCCAGGAAAAGCCUCUAAGCAUCAGGUAACAUCAAAUCGUACCCCAAACCGACACAGGUGGUCAGGUAGAGAAUACCAAGGCGCUUGAGAGAACUCGGGUGAAGGAACUAGGCAAAAUGGUGCCGUAACUUCGGGAGAAGGCACGCUGACACGUAGGUGAAGUGAUUUACUCAUGGAGCUGAAGUCAGUCGAAGAUACCAGCUGGCUGCAACUGUUUAUUAAAAACACAGCACUGUGCAAACACGAAAGUGGACGUAUACGGUGUGACGCCUGCCCGGUGCCGGAAGGUUAAUUGAUGGGGUCAGCGCAAGCGAAGCUCCUGAUCGAAGCCCCGGUAAACGGCGGCCGUAACUAUAACGGUCCUAAGGUAGCGAAAUUCCUUGUCGGGUAAGUUCCGACCUGCACGAAUGGCGUAAUGAUGGCCAGGCUGUCUCCACCCGAGACUCAGUGAAAUUGAACUCGCUGUGAAGAUGCAGUGUACCCGCGGCAAGACGGAAAGACCCCGUGAACCUUUACUAUAGCUUGACACUGAACAUUGAGCCUUGAUGUGUAG
rnacentral:rRNA from 5 species